rnacentral:rRNA from 1 species
GCGUAGGAACCUACCUAGUAGUUUGGGAUAGCCCAGAGAAAUUUGGAUUAAUACCGGAUACGCCCCACGGGGGAAAGCAGAGGAUCUUCGGACUUUGCGCUAUUAGAUGGGCCUGCGUGAGAUUAGCUAGUUGGUGGGGUAAUGGCCCACCAAGGCGACGAUCUCUAGCUGGUCUGAGAGGAUGAUCAGCCACACUGGAACUGAGACACGGUCCAGACUCCUACGGGAGGCAGCAGUGGGGAAUAUUGCACAAUGGGCGCAAGCCUGAUGCAGCCAUGCCGCGUGUGUGAAGAAGGCUCU